GCCAGGCAUGGUGAUGCAUGCCUGUAAUCCCAGCUACUCAGGAGGCUGAGGUGGGAGGAUCGCUUGAGCCCAGGAGGCAGAGGUUGCAGUGAGCUGAUGCAGUGCCAUUGCACUCCAGCCUGGGUGACACAGUAAGAUCCCGUCUCAA
rnacentral:SRP_RNA from 1 species